rnacentral:rRNA from 1 species
UUUUUAAUUGAGAUCUUGUAUGAAUGAUUGAACAAAAGAAAUUCUGUCUUUACAUUAGAGUUUGAAUUUAACUUUUAAGUGAAAAGGCUUGAAUGUUCUAAAGGGACGAUAAGACCCUAUAAAACUUUAUAUUAAUUUAUAUUUUAUUAAAUUUUUUUAUAAUAAUUGAAUUUAAUUUUUUUAUUUUGUUGGGGUGACAGAAGCUAUAAAUUAUACUAACUGCUUCAAGUUAAGUCAAAAAUAAAUGUAAAGUAAUUAGGUCCUUUAUAUGGAUUAAGAGAUUAAGUUACUUUAGGGAUAACAGCGUAAUUUUUUUUGAGAGUUCAUAUCGAAAAAAAAGAUUGCGACCUCGAUGUUGAAUUAAAAAAUCUUUGUAGUGCAGGUGUUACAGGAGAAGGUCUGUUCGACCUUUAAUUUUUUAC